GGGGGCGUCCCGGUUUCGACUGGUCUGACUGAGCGCCGAUGGCAUGCCGAGGAUGAUCGUAGGCCUCGUUAAUCAUUCGGUCACAAUAGUAAUUGCGAACGACGAAUUCGCUCUCGCCGCUUAAAUGCGACGACGUCUUUACCUUGAAGCACACUAAGGGAUAAAGGCGAAAGCAGUGCGCUGGGUUCCAACCUUCUCUUCUGGGGCGGGAACCGAGAUAAUCCAGAAGAUAGUCUGAAGGUAGCCCGUUUGCCGGCAACACUGGAGGACGAUAAACAACAAAGGCAGGACAAGCAUGUAGAGGUCGCCGUAAUGUUUCUCUAGGACGGGGGUUCGACUCCCCCCGCCUCCACUU
rfam:Lentisphaerae bacterium GWF2_50_93 gwf2_scaffold_117, whole genome shotgun sequence.